rnacentral:rRNA from 1 species
UACAGAGGGUGCGAGCGUUAAUCGGAAUUACUGGGCGUAAAGCGCGCGUAGGCGGCUUUUCAAGUCGAUUGUGAAAUCCCCGGGCUUAACCUGGGAACUGCAGUCGAGACUGUCUAGCUAGAGUAUGGGAGAGGGAAGUGGAAUUUCAGGUGUAGCGGUGAAAUGCGUAGAUAUCUGGAGGAACACCGGUGGCGAAGGCGGCAUCCUGGACCGACACUGACGCUGAGGAGCGAAAGCCAGGGGAGCAAACGGG